rnacentral:rRNA from 1 species
CUACGGAGGGUGCAAGCGUUAUUCGGAAUCACUGGGCGUAAAGGACGCGUAGGCGGGUUGGCACGUCAGAUGUGAAAUCCUACAGCUUAACUGUAGAACUGCAUUUGAAACUGCUAACCUAGAGUAUGGGAGGGGGAGAUGGAAUUAGUGGUGUAGGGGUAAAAUCCGUAGAUAUCACUAGGAAUACCGAAAGCGAAGGCGAUCUCCUGGAACAUAACUGACGCUAAGGCGUGAAAGCGUGGGGAGCAAACAGGAUUAGAUACCCUAGUAGUCC